rnacentral:rRNA from 1 species
GAUGAACGCUGGCGGCGUGCCUAAUACAUGCAAGUCGAGCGAACAGACGAGGAGCUUGCUCCUCUGACGUUAGCGGCGGAAGGGUGAGUAACACGUGGAUAACCUACCUAUAAGACUGGGAUAACUUCGGGAAACCGGAGCUCAUACCGGAUAAUAUAUUGAACCGCAUGGUUCAAUAGUGAAAGACGGUUUUGCUGUCACUUAUAGAUUGAUCCGCGCCGCAUUAGCUAGUUGGUAAGGUAACGGCUUACCAAGGCGACGAUGCGUAGCCGGCCUGAGAGGGUGAUCGGCCACACUGGAACUGAGACACGGUCCAGACUCCUACGGGAGGCAGCAGUAGGGAAUCUUCCGCAAUGGGCGAAAGCCUGACGGAGCAACGCCGCGUGAGUGAUGAAGGUCUUCGGAUCGUAAAACGCUGUUAUUAGGGAAGAAAAAAUGAGUAAGUAACUAUGCACGUCUUGACGGUACCUAAUCAGAAAGCCACGGCUAACUACGUG